AUCGCCCAGUUCGGUACGCAAAUGAGCAAAAUACUAGCCGUAGUUGCAUCGACUGCUGAAUGAUCGGUCUGUUAAUAGCAGCGGCAUGGUAUGAGAGGGGAUGGCAAGAAGAUGGAGAAAACAUGAAACUCCCCUCCCCCAUUAGCGGAAAUGUAAACGGAUAUCCUGGAACACGUUAAAACAUGAGUCUACGUACGGGAUGGAGGUAACAAAAAUAGAAUUCGUUCUGUUCCCGCAAUUCCUUUCACAUGGCUAGCGAACCCUGCAUUGAAUUUGGUUCAAUUUCAAUUCACCACUGAGCACUUCAACGUGAUGCUGUAAACAGACCUGUAUCGAACGGUCUUCUUUCGGUGACAGAUGAUAGGUCGUCCUAGUAGCCAUGUGAUACAAGGAAAGGUUACGUGACAACUGUUGUUGGGUAAACACUGUCCGGUAAACGCUUCAAGAUACGGGAAGUCAUCACUUAAAGCUAUUUCCUUGGACGCAAAAUAACACGACAACGAGCAUUGUAGAUUACAAAACAACAUUACAUCCCCGAACGGUCAUGUAAUUCGAUUAGUUUCCGAACACCCGGACACAACACAGCACACGUUGCACACAGGAUUUAGUAACUCGUUUAACUCACAACAGCACACAAAUGCAAGCAGGUCGGCCCCAGAUGGUCUUGCACCGGGAGCAGCCGGGGGAGAGCCGGGAGCGGAUGGAAUCGUCGGUGGACCACGGACGCCCCAGCAGAUUGCGGCACAGAAGCGACUGCAACAAACCCAGGCACAGGUGGAUGAGGUUGUGGAUAUCAUGAAGACGAACGUCGAGAAGGUGUUGGAAAGAGAUCAAAAGCUGUCAGAACUGGACGAUCGAGCCGAUGCGCUGCAGCAGGGUGCAUCGCAGUUUGAACAGCAAGCCGGCAAACUGAAGAGGAAAUUCUGGCUACAGAAUCUAAAAAUGAUGAUAAUAAUGGGCGUUAUUGGUCUUGUCAUACUCGCAAUUAUUGUAGCAAGAAAUUAAACACCGCCAAUUGCAGAACGCAGGGCGCAAAAACCCCAAAUCGAAACCGAACAAAAUCAGUAUAAAUAUAUAUCCAGUAUAUCAAACUCGGCCCAACCACAAAACCAUCAUCUCCUUGGCAUUGUCAUCUCGAUCGUACGCAUAUUAGCCGUCGUCGUCGUCGUCCCACACCAAAGCCAACGCGCAUCUAUCUAGCCAAACGCAAAUAUCUUCGUCUAUCCUACCCGUCUGUAUGUGUGUGUGUUUGGUGCAUUGUGUGACGACGCGAAAUAGUCCUGGUUUACCGAUUCGAUCUCACUUCAAUGCCGGUCUCUUCUUCUACAAACACCCUUCCGUUUCCCGUCCCCAGCCACCAAACGAGCACCAAAGCUAUAAGAGCGUCCAUAAUUUGUGCUACUGGAAAAACCGUCGAUAAAUGGGACAGAUGGUGCAUUUGACGCGUUAUCCGUUGGGCGAGCGUGUAACGAACCUGUCGAUCAUCCAUAUCCACCAAAAAACACCAUCACGUUAAUACCCAAGUGCGUUGUGUGAGUUGAUAGUUAAGUCGUCGUAAGUGGAAUAUGCGCCAGAAAAGAUAAAAAGAAAAACCCCUUCCAAAGUUUGGCCCACAAGGAAGGUGAGCAGCAGAAGAAGCGAAAAGAAGCAAGACUACCAAAAGCUACUACCACUAAUCACCAUCAACGAUCACAACGUUCUUCGCCGACAUCGUUUAAGCUCGCCAGUUGACUACUUCACAUCAACUGUCACGGUUUCGCCCUUUCGUUGCUCUCUCUCUCUCUCUCUCUCUUUCUCGCCCUCUCUAUCGUCCCGUCUUCAUCUCACUCACUCGCUCUGAUCUCCUUCGUACUGCAACGCGUCGCCGCCUGCUUCAACUGAUCAUCAUUAGCUGUCAAACGUUUGUCGCAAAACAGAUAGCAAAUCGAAAGCAAUCGCGCGAACCCCCGACAAAAAAUAAGAGAAACACCACAAGCUUUAAAACAAACCAAUUGCAGACCUAACCGCCGAAUCGCCGCAAAGGCCGCCAUUUUGGGCGAAAUUCAUGCCUGCAGAUCAACCGCAGCAACCGAUGAUGAUGAUGGGCGGUCAACCGAUGCAACAGAUACCGAUGCAGCAGAUGCCGGCCGCACCACCGGCCCAACCCGCAGCCCCGGCCGCCCUCGUGCAGGACGUUUCGGCACUGCUAACCGGUGGCGGCGGUUCACAGCUGAUCAAGAACUAAGCGCGCACAGGACCGAGACGCUGAUCGUGUGAUGUUUGCUGAUGUUGCGCUGCCUGGUGUGAGGUGAUGAGAAGAUGCAAUGAAAAAAGGAAAACCAAAAGCUAGAUUACUCAUAAUCUCUGUACCACAUUACAAGCACACACACACUAACCCAUUAACAUCGUCAUCAUUCGUGAAAAGCAAAAGGAGAGAGAAGAAAUCGGCAAGGAGAAAAAAAUUAAGGAGAACUAAGCGAAAACAUCUUAAAGAAGCAGAUAAAACCAUUGCUAACACGCAAUUUAAGUGAGAUACUUCCAGUAUGAAAAACAAAACGAAAUAAGACAAAACAACAACAAAAAACAUCUAGUAGACACGGAUAGUAGACACAUUAACUGCAAAUGAGUAUAAGUAAGAAAAAUAGACAGAUUGACAGAGAGAGAAAGCGAGAGAUUUACAGAGAGAGAGAGACAGUAGAGUACAGAGAGAAGGACAGAAAAGCGAGAAAGUUAUGUAAGUACGAGAAGUCAUUUCCAUUCGUUUCUCUUCGAGCUUCGAACCCGUUGUUCUAAACGAUUCGAGUACUAGGAGUGUUUGGUUUUUGAAUUUCGAAUUUCCAGAUUGGAGAGCGGUCUUUUCCUUGGGGUUAAAUUUUCUCCAAAACGUUAAGGAGAAGAGCAAAUUGCGUACGCACACACACACUCUCUUCACUCGCGUUAUCCGUUUUUUGUUUUGGGCAUUUGCAUUGCUAGCGAAUUCGGACAUCAUCUUUACCAGAAUUGGACAGCAAGGAGGGAAAUGAGGCAUAUGCAGAAGGAGUUGGUUAAUUGUGCUGAAGGUUAAAUUAAAAUUAUAGAAAAAAAGCAAAACAAAACAUAAGCAACUCAUACACAUCUUCACAGCCAUAAUGUUACAGUUUAAUGUUUUUAGUAAACAACAACAACCAAAAAAUUACACAAUCGAAGGAAACAAGACGAGCAGCAGUAAAAAAAAGGAAAGGAGAAGGUAAAUAAGAAUGUAAGGCAGGUUUGUUAGCGAAUUGCAAAAGCCGAGCGAAUACUUUUUCCCUUCACCCACACCACAUUAACCAAUUUAUUACUUAUCAUUAUUGUUGCAGUUGUUGCUGUCGUUCGAUACGAAUAAUAUGUCGAGUAAAAAAACCCGGCCAAGCAAGGUGUUCGGUAGGCAUUAGGGUGGUGUGCAAAAGGAAACAAAUUAAUUACUGGCUCACCAUCUCCUUCCUCCCCCACCCCCCCAUUUCCCUUUUCCCUCCCGUCCCGUCCCCAAGCCCGGUUUUUUCUUACUCAUUCGAAACAACAGCAAAAAAAACCUGUACGAAAAGUUUCGCGUUUCAUGGGAAGGCAAGGCCGCAGAAGGUUUAGCAAGAUCUGUUCUAUAUGCUGCAUAAAAGAAAGAAGAAGAAAGGGGGAAAAAACGGCAACAAGCAACGAAAAAUAAAGCCCAGAAGAAAAGAAAAGAUGGAAGCAGAAGAAAAAAACAAACAAACAAACAAACAUGCAUACCAAAAUUAUGUCAGCUACUAACUUAAUGAAACACUUAAAAUAUUGCAAACAAUAAACAGAAUUAUUUCACCAAGAACCGGAAACAUUCGUGUGUGUGUGUGUGGUGUGGUUGAUGGUCGGCCGAACAAGCGGCCAGAGAACACACGCACCGAAUAUUUUCCCUCGAAAAUGGACUUCCAAUGGUGCGCCGCAGUUUUUGUUGUUGUUGUUUUGGUGAGAAAUUAGAGCAAAAGCGAGAACGCAACGCGAUGGGUAAGGAAACCAGAAACAUCCAAAUAUCGGUCUCAAAUUUACACACCCCGCUUGUUGUUUUCUGUUUGUUUGCUUCUAGGAAUGAAAAUGCUUCCACCAGCGUUUGGAACUAUUGUUUGUGGUGCAUUUUGUUACACGAAGCUGUAGAGCAGAACAGAAGAAGAAGAAGAAGAAGAAGAAGAAGCAGAAAAUAGGUGAACGAUAUAAUUACGAUCGAACGUAAAACGAUACGAUUCGUAACCACUACUCGUUGCCCGAAUUAAUAACAAAUUGUAGAAUGUUGUGAAUUGGGAAACGGAAAACAGGAAGAGGAAACGACAUUCAAAUAGAAACAAAAAAAAGCAAGAAACACUCUAGGAAGGAGAGGGGGAAGAGAAACAAUACGAUAAAAUAAAAUACCUAAAUCUAACAACUACAAAUACACACAAAAACACACACAAGUAAGGAGGGAAAUUUCGAUGAAAUAAGUAUAACACGAUAGCGAUUAAUAGCUUAAGCAAUCCAAAUCGGUAAACGGACAUAAAAACAGACCGAAGAAACAGCAGGAAAAACUUCGACGGGAAAGUAAAAACUCUCAAUCAACUCAACGAUGUGAAAAUAGUUAAGCAAAGGGCUAAUCUUUUCUUUCCUCAUUUACAAUUCAUGAACACGACACGCAAGCAAAAAAUUACAAAUAAAUUUAAAUAGACAGAAGGGGGAAACAUUUAGCGUAGGUUAACACAAAACACACGAUUCGAAACGUAAUCAUAUUAAACAGACGAAGUGCGAAAGAGAAAGGGAUACAAAAACAGUAGCAAAGGAAAGAAGAAAAUGCCAUCUCUGAACAAAAUACGUCUUUGCUACUAAAAGAACCCAAGAAGAGACGGGCAGUAGAUUCAUACAAAGAACACACACACACACUAUCAGACGUUUGCACGCAUUAGUUUCACGUUGUACGUGCUCAAAAAGACACACACAAAGAGGAACGAAUGGAGCAAAAACCAAAUCGAGAACAAGCUAAAGCUUCGUGUUAGCCCCCCUCCCUGCAGCCCAGAAUCUCAGCCGAAAACCAGUGAAAGGAAAACCAGGUCAACAUAGUAAUAGCGCAAUGAAAAUAACUACUACUUAAUACUUAAACAAACACACACACAAACAAACAACAGAAGAAGGAAAUGAAGAAUGACACAAAAAAGAUGAAACAUGGUAAAAGAAGGAUGAAAGAUAGAGAAGAAAAAAGAAACUUUCAAAGAAAGAAUACAGAAGAGAAGAGACAAGAGAAGAGAUUGAAUAACGGCACAUACAAACACACACAAACACACAGAAUCACACAGACUUUAGCAUAAAUUGUUUUAAUUUUUCACUCUUUUCCCACUAGAAUAUAUUACAAAACUACGAACAAAGGAGAACUAAGAAAGAAUGAGAAACAAAAGAAAGAAAAAAAACAACGGGACAUGAAAAGGAAGAAGGACGCAAGAAACGAAACGGAAAGCGGAAAGUAACAAAUAGCAAGACGUAAACGAAACGAUAACAAAUAAGCUAAAGAAAAAACAACAACUCACAUAUACACACAUACAUUGUACGAGUAAACCGAGAAAAGAGGAUGUAGAAGCGACAAACAAAGAAAAACGACGAACAGGAAGAGGAAAAAAAGGGCGUGAAGCGAAACAAAAGAAAGCAACAA